UUGACAUGUUUCAUUUGAGCUCAGGCCAGAUCGUCGGUGUGUGUGGACUGUAGUUGAGAUUUUUGGGAGGCUGAGUCAGUGGGACGUGCAUUAUUUUUUGGAGCAGAACCGAGUGCGACUCCACGUUUUGGAAAAUCCCCUCCAUACUCAUCUCUUGAGAUUUAAACAGUUUGACCCGUCACCAUGACAACAGAAGUGGGCUUUGAGACAGAGGUGAAGGAGAAAGCGGAAGAAACAGUUGAUCAGCUGGACCAAUCGGAGACAGCCAAGCAAGAAGCCCAGGAAUUAGCAAACGUUGAGGAAGAGGAAAGGGAAAAAGGGAAGGGGAAGGAAAAAGAGGGCAAAGGGAUAACUCGAUACCUGCCAACAUGGUUUAAGAAGCAGAAAUCUCAAAGCCAGACAUCCCCAACCAAGGAGGUCCCGCCAACAGAAGAACCCGUCAGCAAGGGGACAGAGGGAGAGGAGGAGGCUGCCCCAGAGGUGAACGGUCACGCUCAGGAAGUGGAAGAGAAAGAGGAAGAGGAAGUAAAGUCGGAGAAAGUGAAGGAAGCAACAGAAGCUGAAUCUGCAUCCAACGCCAGUGCAGAGACUGAGCCGGCCAAGGAAGAGAAGGUGAAAGACACUAGAGAGAAAAGUCCGGAGAAGACCAAAGAGACUGCACAGGGAGAAGAAGCAAAGGAGGAGGACAAGAAGAAAGAGCCCGAAGGACACGUGGAGGCUGAAGCAGACGGAGAAGAAAGCCAGACUUCAAUUUUCCAGUCUCCUCUUCGCCUGGUGAGGAAGAACAAGAUGAAGGUGGUGGUUUGUCACGUUAUCCUCCUAGAUGGGACUGACUUCACCUGUGAGGUCGAGAAACGAGCUAAGGGGCAGUACUUAUUCUUCAAGGUGUGUGAGCACCUGAAUCUGCUGGAGAAGGACUACUUUGGCCUGACUUACAAGGACAGCCAUGAUGAGAAGUGUUGGUUGGAUCCCACAAAGGAAAUUAAGAGACAAAUUCGCAGUAACAACUGGCAGUUUUCAUUCAGUGUCAAGUUCUACCCUCCCGACCCAUCACAACUCACUGAGGACAUUACAAGGUACCUUUUGUGUCUGCAGCUGCGGGAGGAUGUUUCUUCUGGACGGCUGCCGUGCUCGUUUGUCACUCACGCUCUGCUGGGGUCAUACACACUGCAGGCCGAGUUUGGUGACCAUGAACCCGACCAGCCUCACCCUUCAGACUUCAUCAACCAGCUGAUGUUUUCAACCAAUCAGAACAAAGAGAUGGAGGAGAAGAUUCUUGAACUUCAUAAAUCCCACAGGGGAAUGACACCAGCACAGGCGGACCUCCAGUUUGUAGAAAAUGCCAAGAAGCUCUCCAUGUAUGGAGUGGACCUGCACCACGCUAAGGAUUCAGAGGGAGUAGACAUCAUGCUAGGUGUGUGCGCCAAUGGACUCUUGGUGUACAAAGACAGACUGCGGAUAAAUCGGUUCGCUUGGCCCAAAAUACUCAAGAUAUCGUACAAGAGGAACAACUUCUAUAUCAAGAUCAGGCCAGGAGAGACGGAGCAGUUCGAAAGCACCGUGGGAUUCAAACUCCAGAAUCAUCGGUCUGCUAAAAGGCUGUGGAAAGUCUGUGUAGAAAACCACAGCUUCUUCAGGUUAAACGCACCAGAGCCUCCUACCAAGGCCCGCUUUCUGACUCUGGGAUCCAAGUUCCGCUACAGCGGGCGAACUCAGGCCCAGACCCGGCUGGCCAGUUCCCUCAUAGACCGACCUGCACCCAACUUUGAACGAACCUCCUCAAAACGCAUCAGCCGCAGUCUGGAUGGAGCACCGGUGAUCAGCAUAACUGAGGCUGGAAGCGAGAUAGCUGAGAACGGACAGGACUCCCGUCUAGAGCUUCAGUCUGACUCCAAGGCUAAGGAGGUGGACUUGAGCCACGCCGAUGUGGAGGCCUUGCCGCCCCAGCAACAGUCACCUGGACGUGCUGAGCCUGCCCCCUCUCAGGACCUCGAUAAGACCCAGGAUGAGGUUCUGAAACACCAGGCUAGCAUUAGCCAGCUCAAGCGCUCCUUUAUGGAGGCGCCACCCCCCUCUCCUCCUCAGCCCAACCAGUGGGAGAAACGUCUCACCUCCUCUCCUGCUACAGCGAUACGUGUCCAGCAGCAACAAGUGAGCCUCGAAGACGAAAUAGCUUCGUUGCUUCUCAGCACUGCUGCUGAAUUUUAUUCAGCCGCUCAGCUUCCCUGCGGUGCUCCAGAACCAACACUAGAUGCUGCUGUGACCACAUGUUCAGCUGCUGCUGCUCCCACUGCUGUCUGCAGUCCAUCUUUGUCUCAUCAUGUUUCUGCACUUUCUGCCACUGAGGUCAGUGUGCCACAAACAGAAGCAGCUUCAGCUGAUAACACGAGCUCUGAUACCAAAGAACCUGCAAAGACCAUCGAAGUUGAAAUCGAGGAAACUGUUGUCAUCCAAGAAGUUUCCAGAGUGGCCAAACCCGGGCUUGUGUCGGUUACGGCCGACUCUCCUGCCACCCCGCCUGCCGAGCAGGAACCUCUGGACCAGACAGUGAAAGUUGAAGAGGAAGUGGCGGCAGUGGAGGAAGUAAAGCCCACGGAGCCAGAAAGGGCUUCAUCCGAGAGCGAGAGUGAGGAGGAAGCUGAGUACCAUCCAAACGUUCCUGCAUCCAUCUCUCAAACACAAAUACCAGAGGAAAAGGAAGAAGAAGCAGAGGAGAUGAUGAAGAAAGAAGAGGAGCAGCAAGUGUCUGCUCCAGUUGUUCCAUCUCUUCCAGUGGAGGUCAGCCAGCCUACAGAAGAAAUGUGUCAAGAAGACGAGUCCAAGAAGGAGGACACAUAUGUAGAGGAGAACAAAGAUGAUCAGGAGGAGAAAGAAAGUGGACGUGAGACAGAGGAAAGCACAGAUGAUCCGAUGUUGACACCUGAAGAAGCACCGGAUGGUAUCCUCCUGCCUGGGGAGACCAUGGUGACCAAUCCCACAGAGGAACAGGAGCAACCCAGAAUGAAUGGAGAAGCCUCACUGAUUGAAGUGGAUCCCCGGCCGCAGGUUAUUUGUUGCUCUGAGCCGCCUGUGGUAAAAACAGAAAUGGUGACUAUAUCAGACACGUUUGCUGCCCAGAAAACUGAGAUAGCCACAAAAGAAGUGCCCAUCGUGCACACGGAAACCAAGACCAUCACAUACGAAGCCGCACAGUUGGAUGGUAGUGGUGAUGGUGAGCCCGGAGUGUUGAUGACCGCACAGACGAUCACAUCUGAGUCUUUGUGUACCACCACAACCACACACAUUACCAAGACAUUAAAGGGAGGGCUCUCGGAGACGAGGAUUGAGAAGCGCAUCGUAAUCACUGGCGACUGCGACAUCGACCACGACCAGGUCGGUUUUUAGCGCCUCUGCUCAUCUCGUAGGUCUUAGCUGGAGCUUCAUCAAGAUGUGGAAAGUGUGAACGGCUCUCUCAGAUAUAAUUUCUUUAGGCACUGGCACAGGCCAUUAAGGAGGCCAAAGAGCAACAUCCUGACAUGUCUGUCACCAGAGUGGUGGUUCAUAAAGAAACUGAGCUGGCUGAGGAGGAGGAUUGACUGAACUCAGAACUGAAAGACCAGCAGGGACCGUCUCCUCUUCAGACGUCUUCAUCGCUCUACAAUGACCAACCUGGACUGCCAAAGGGAGAGAGGAAGAGGAGGACCUGAAGAAUAGGAGGGAGAGGAGGAGGAGGUUGAUUCGGGGGGAUCGAAGAUGUCACUCUCAUCCCAGAUGGUCUUUCAGACAUUUUUUUUUGGUGCAUUUCAGUCCCUCGUUGCAAAAAGAGAAAAAAUAUCCUCACUCUGAAGGAACAAAAAAAACCACUUUGUUAGCUUAAUAUUUGUAGCUUCUAUUAUUUUAUAUUAGAGUGUUUUCUUCCCGUUUUACAAAAAAAAGAUGAUAUAGUGUCUUUCGUGUGUUGCAAAUAUCAAAUUAGACCUUCGCUGAUCACCGACACGCAUGAGAUUCAAGAAUGCUUAAUUUUGUCUAUUAAUACAUCAGCAAAGCUCUAAAGUGUCUAAAAACUACGCAAACAUGAGACAAAGUCGAUGACGUCAGACAGAAAUAGCCUUGAUCCAGAUCAUUUUAGUCUGAAAAAACAUUUUGUUUAGUGUGUUCCUUUUAAAAAUGAAUUGAAUUAAAUUGCAACCCUCCUCACCCCUUUUUAAAAUGGUGUAAAUGCAAAAACAAUAUUUAACUCAUUAAUCCGGUUUGAAGAAAAUAGAAAGAAACCUGUUUUUUUUAAUCUUUUACAUUUUAAAGAACCCAGUAGAAACAAGCUACUUAGUAUUUUUACUUUUUAUUAUUUUACACAAAGGAGGGAGCUGAAACUUGCAUAUUGCAGUAAAUAAUUCCGGUUUUUGGAUCAUUUUGUUUUAUUUUUAUUGUAAAUGUAGCUAUUCAUCCACAUUCCUUGUGUUUCCAGCUGUUGAGGAAGUUCGUCUACAGUUCAGCUCACGUUUUACUUCACUGACAAAAGGGGAUGUUUCAUCACUCAUGUUAGGUGACAAUGGACGAGGUGUGAAAUUACGUACGCUUCAAAAACAGAAUGUGAUAAUUAUUAAUUAAUCUUUUUUAUUAAAUCUACACUGAAAUGGAUUUGAACUGAAAAUAAACAAACUUGGAUGCUGGUCGACACAUUUCUUGUACAAAGGAAAAAGUAAAUGAAGGUUAUAAAAAUGAGAGCAGCUUUUCAGUAACUAAGCACCUCCUCGGGUCCUUCCACUGUUCAACACUAACCAUUCCCGAAUGGACCCCAGGGGAGCAUGGGAGAUUAAACUGACAUUUUACUGGGAGAGACGACUGGUUAACGAUGAUAAUUGGGAGAGUGCCAACCAAUACCUCGGUAAUGACAACCAAUUGGAGCACUUAUACAAGUUAGCCUUAGUCUGUGCAGGUUCCAGCACAGAGAUGCUUUAUUUUCUGAGGACUAUAACUUCAUGCUAAAUUUCAUUUCAUUUAAAUCAUUCAAAUCGCUACAGUGAAGGUACCAAAACGAAGACUGCUGGAAACCAGUUCUGUCCCAGAUUCAGACUACUGCAACUUUUAUGCGUUCACUAUAACUGCAAAUUUGUUUGUCGUAGUUUUUCACUGUUCACACCCAGCUGCUUUUCAUAUUCUGCUACAAGUAACACUAAAAUGCCUGUUUAAGACGAUAAGGCAUAUGGGAUUACAAUUAAGCAUGCUUCACACUUUCUUUUUUCUGUCAAAUUCAACCAGUCUAGAAUAGGAGGCUGCUGUGUUGACUGGUUUAGGUAGAGGAGAUUAUCUCAGCUGAAAUCAUCUGACUUCGUGUCGCUGGAUGUGUUGUAAUUGUUCUGCUCUAUAAUUGUGUUUUUUAACGGUUCUUGUUGCACAAAAGGCUAGAGGGGUAAAACAGUUGCCACAACACAGCAGUAUAACACAGCUUAAAGGGAAGCAUGUUAGAGGGCCUGAAGUAGCAUUUAAACGCCUAACUAGAAGCUCAUAAUGGAUUUCCAUGUUGUCUUUUCAAAUUUUGCAGAAUUAGACCAAAGCACACCAUUUUUAUCGCAGAAAGCUUAAGGAAAAAGCCUUAUUUUUAAUUGGACUUUUGAAAAUGAUGUUUAUUCAAAGUAAUACAGAUUUUUAGAAACAUCCAGUCAUGUCCCAUGGACUGCAAGGCAAAAAAAAGCUUACUAAACACAGGUUUUACUUCUACUAUGCAGCUAAAUGACAUUCCACAAGGGGAAGAAACUUUAACUUCUAAUCCUCUUGCAAAAUAGAAGAAAAAAACCUAAAAUUUUCAUCUCUAGGCAGCUUCGGAUGUGACCGCUGUUCCAGAUAGGAAAAUCUCAUUAAACGCUGCAUUGUAUCUGUAGAGUGUCUCACAGUUUGUCCUUUCUCUGUGAAACUGGUCUGAUAGUUGGAAGGUGGGAACUGUUGCUCCACCUUCCUGCUUAUUCCUAAUAUUGCCACUGUGUAUUUUGUUGAUGAAGAAAAACCACUAAAUAUCAACAAUUUUUGCCACCUUUUCUCUGUUUUGAGUUCUGGACUCUCUGAACCAAUCACAGGAACUUUGGGGCUGCAAGGUUGACUUUUCCAAAAUGUUUAUCGCUUUAAUUACAUUUUAUUUAAAAAACAAAAAAAAAAGGUCAGAAUUUUCAUGUGAAUUAUAGCUUUUUAUUUAGUUAGAAAUCUGAUGCUUAUUACCAGCUGAUUUUAAAUUGUAACAUUAUAGUAAAAAAGUCAUUAAAAUUGUCUAUGUAGAAUUUUGACCGAGCAAUGUUUUAUAAUCAAAUUGUUAUUGGAGAAAAAGAAAAUUCUUCAUGCUUAAAUCUCAGGAUUUCUUCUACACAUUUGACAAUAACAGCACAAUUUUGUAUUUCAUUUAACAAGAAAAAAAAAUCUGUCUAAAAUACUUUUCAAGGGAAGCACAUUUUGGAGAAAUUAACCAGCCACCUCUUUGCUUCAUAUUAACAACACAUCACUGGUAGGUUCUCUUGUCUAGCUGCAUAAUUGUGUUGUGCCUCCCCACACGCAGCCACUCCUUGCCCUGUGUAACACUGUUCAAAUAAACAAUUGUUAUACUCUGAAA